CUGUUACUGUUCACACAACAAGUUUUGGCUCAAAUUUGAAUUUUCUUAGUUUCUUAUUGUUGGUUCCUAGUUUCGUUUGUUGACUCUAAUAACUAAUCGACAAGCUAGAACUCCUCUACUAGAUUGUAAAUUAGAUUUUGAAUAUGCUUCUUCGUGUUAACGUUGUUUGUUUUGUGCUUUUCUCGUUUUUGAGUCGUAGUAUCUUUUGGUUCAAGUUUGUACAUUACUUGUUUGAGUCGUUUCAAACAAGAAUCUACUCUAACCUCGAGCCACAAUUGGGACCAAGUAACCUCAUUGGAGUAUAAACGAGUUAUCAACGCUUGUGAGACCAAUAGAGUGAAAAUGUCAAAGUGUGAAAGUGAGGAAUUGUGGACUGUUUUAAGUCGACUUUUGGACUGAAUUUUGCUAACAUUAACAUGUUAUUAUUUUUAUUAUGUUUUAGUGUUCUUAAUAGGUACUAUUACAUCGGGAAAUGUGACUAUGAGCGAUUUAAUGGCUGCCAUAAUGGGUAUGAAACAUGACCUUAGUAGUCGAAUGGAGAGAAUGGAACGAAUAAUGGACCGAGUGGAAGGAAAAAUGAAAGGGAUGGAAAUCUCUCUUUGCAAGGAGUUAGAUAACUUGAUAGAGCAACCAAGCUUUCCUAAUCAAGUUCCCGUGAGUGGACAUGCUCCACAUAAGCUACAAGGUAAUUAAACUAACUCUUGUACUCUAGUGAAUGAGGCUAGUAUCCAACUAAGUGUGGAUGAUAGUUUGCCUUUAGGUGAGCUGAAUGUGUCUCCAUUUGGUGAUGAUAAUGUACAACUUGAUAUUGUGGAAACACUAGUUGAUCCAUCUAGUGUUGAAGCCAUUGUGGCAAGUGAUAGUACAUUGUCUUAUGGAAGUCAUGAAGACCAACUUGUGUGUGAAAAUGGUGAUCUUGAACAUGUUGGCUGAUUGACUAAAGAUGAACCUCUAGUUGUUUUUGUUGUAGAUCAUGUUAGUAUAGAGGGUGUCAAUAAGUGUAAUGGUGGUAGUCUUGGGGAAAGAAAGUAUGUCCUCCACCCGUGUCCAUGGACACUCUACCCCUUUAAUCCCGGUGACCAUUUGAAAUAUUAUAUUGAUUCUUUUCAAACCAUAUUCGGGAAUGACGUGUAUGCAUUGUGUGGGCAUGGUUAUGUUGAUGCUAAGCAUGUCUUGUAUGUAUUUCAGGUUUCCUGUGAUUGGUGUGUCAUUUUUGAGAACCCGAGGGAUGUUUGGUUAUAUGUGAAAUUUGAGCCACCUUGGCAUGAUGCUAUGAUUGAUUACACUAAUCCUAACCCUCACACCUUGAGGAACUUGUGUUUGCUUGUCCUUCCUAUUAUUUUGCAAGGUUCGAAUUUGAGGACGAAUCCUUUCUAAGGAAGGGAGGAUGCUACGAGUCAACAAGGUAUCUUAGCACUCGAAGACAUGAAGACGUGAGGGAAGACCCGAGCUUGUGGGGCUGCCUAACCAAACAACAAGCUUUGAAGUUUAAAGAACAAGUCCCAACACUCCAAAGCUGUCCAAGAAGUCAAUCCCCUUUGUUUGGGCUCAUUAAGGGCCUUUUGGUCAUUUAUGUAACAAGUGUUGCCCUAGCCUAUAAAUAGAACAAUUAGGUCAUUUUGUCAUUUAGAUUUUGAUGAUAUAUUUUGAG
rnacentral:lncRNA from 1 species